AUCUUUUCCCAUUCCUAUCUUGUUUCUUUCUGCGGCGGAGAGAGCGAGAGAGAGAGAGAGAGAGAGAGAGAGAGAGAGAGAGAGAGAGAGAGGAUUUGAAGCCGUUUAUCUUGAAUUAAGGUAACAAACCAACCAAAUAGGAGGUGCCGAAAUCGUAAGUUUGGCGUAUCUCGGUUGAUGCAAAGGUAGCAGGUUUCGUAGAGUGGGUCUACUACUGGUCAUCGUGUUGAGAAGUGUUUGGGCUAGCGUUGGAUGAUGUGGAUGUGCAAGUUGGUUGUAGGUAGUAAACUAAGAAGUUGAUUUAUGUAAAUUAUAAAUAAGUCUUUGGUGGAUGUGUUGAAAUGUAGAAUUUUUUUUUAAAGUAUUGUAAAACUAUAUUGUUGUUUAGUUGUGCGAGGUCGUGGUUGGUUGGUCGAUACGUCAACUCAUUUUUAUGUUAAGGUAAUAAGUCUUCCGCUGGGUGUUUAUUCUGA